GCAGGUUCUAGUAUUGGAUGGCCGGGGCCAUCUUCUGGGCCGCCUGGCGGCCAUUGUGGCCAAGCAGGGUACUGCUGGGCCGGAAGGUAGUGGUUGUACGCUGUGAGGGCAUCAACAUUUCUGGAAAUUUCAACAGAAACAAGUUAAAGUAUCUGGCCUUUCUCCGAAAGCGUCACCAACCCGUCUCGAGGCCCCUACCACUUCCGAGCCCCAAGCCACAUUUUUUGGCGCACUGUGCGAGGCAUGCUACCCCGCAAGACCAAGAGAGGCCAGGCUGCCCUGGAACGCCUCAAGGUGUUGGACGGGAUCCUUCCACUCUAUGACAAGAAAAAGCGGAUGGUGGUCCCUGCUGCCCUCAAGGUUGUGCGGCUGAA
rnacentral:lncRNA from 1 species